rnacentral:misc_RNA from 1 species
UGACUGUCCUUUACCCAUGUGUGC